GGACUACUGGGGUAUCUAAUCCCGUUUGCUCCCCUAGCUUUCGCGCAUCAGCGUCAGUAGCAGGCCAGGUGGGCGCCUUCGCCACCGGUGUUCCUCCUGAUAUCUACGCAUUUCACCGCUACACCAGGAAUUCCCCCACCCUCUCCUGUACUCAAGCUCAGCAGUAUGGGAUGCAGGUCCCGGGGUGAGCCCGGGCAUUUCACAUCCCACUUACCGAACCGCCUACACGCCCUUUACGCCCAGUGAUUCCGAACAACGCUUGCUCCCCCCGUAUUACCGCGGCUGCUGGCAC
rnacentral:rRNA from 1 species